rnacentral:rRNA from 1 species
GAUGAACGCUGGCGGCGUGCCUAAUACAUGCAAGUCGAGCGAACGGACGAGAAGCUUGCUUCUCUGAUGUUAGCGGCGGACGGGUGAGUAACACGUGGAUAACCUACCUAUAAGACUGGGAUAACUUCGGGAAACCGGAGCUAAUACCGGAUAAUAUUUUGAACCGCAUGGUUCAAAAGUGAAAGACGGUCUUGCUGUCACUUAUAGAUGGAUCCGCGCUGCAUUAGCUAGUUGGUAAGGUAACGGCUUACCAAGGCAACGAUGCAUAGCCGACCUGAGAGGGGGAGGGGCCAGCGGGGCACUGAGACACGGUCCAGACUCCUACGGGAGGCAGCAGUAGGGAAUCUUCGGCAAUGGGCGAAAGCCUGACGGAGCAACGCCGCGUGAGUGAUGAAGGUCUUCGGAUCGUAAAACUCUGUUAUUAGGGAAGAACAUAUGUGUAAGUAACUGUGCACAUCUUGACGGUACCUAAUCAGAAAGCCACGGCUAACUACGUG